CCUACGGGAGGCAGCAGUGGGGAAUAUUGCACAAUGGGGGAAACCCUGAUGCAGCAACGCCGCGUGAAGGAAGACGGUUUUCGGAUUGUAAACUUCUGUUCUUAGUGAAGAAUAAUGACGGUAGCUAAGGAGCAAGCCACGGCUCACUACGUGCCAGCAGCCGCGGUAAUACGUAGGUGGCAAGCGUUGUCCGGAAUUACUGGGUGUAAAGGGAGCGCAGGCGGGAAGCCAAGUCAGCUGUGAAAACUACGGGCUUAACUUGUAGACUGCAGUUGAAACUGGUUUUCUUGAGUGAAGUAGAGGGUGGCGGAAUGCGGGGUGUAGCGGUGAAAUGCGUAGAUAUUCGGAGGAACACCGGUGGCGAAGGCGGCCAACUGGGCUUUAACUGACGCUGAGGCUCGAAAGUGUGGGGAGCGAACAGGAUUAGAUACCCCAGUAGUC
rnacentral:rRNA from 1 species